rnacentral:lncRNA from 1 species
AUGUUUCUUGAUGUUUUAGAAUGUCUUUCAAAGGGUUAUGCCUUGAGACACGCAACCAUAGAUGGAAGGAAAGGUAGAGAUUCAUUGGUCUUGCUUCAAGCUCUGUUAGAAUUAAAAUGGGUGAGAUUACUUUUCUAUCCUUCCAUAUUUAUAAUUAACUCUAUUAAAGGGCUUUCAUUUUCUCCACCACCAAGAGAAGGACUCUGCCAGGAGGAAGGACUCCUUGCCAUGUCUGCUGUAACGAGGCCAAGUUAUAAACAGAUGCAGAUAACUGAGGCAAACAAGUGCACUGGCCAGGUGUCACAUUUCCACUUUACAUGCAGCUGCCAUUUUGGAAAAUGGUUACACUGGUCUGAACCUGUCACACCAGUCUUAGCCACGAGGAAGGCUCAGCAGGUGAGAGUCUGGCGGGCAGCCCAUGGUGGUCGGGCCUGA